UAGGGAAUCUUCGGCAAUGGGGGCAACCCUGACCGAGCAACGCCGCGUGAGUGAAGAAGGUUUUCGGAUCGUAAAGCUCUGUUGUAAGAGAAGAACGUGUGUGAGAGUGGAAAGUUCACACAGUGACGGUAACUUACCAGAAAGGGACGGCUAACUACGUGCCAGCAGCCGCGGUAAUACGUAGGUCCCGAGCGUUGUCCGGAGUUAUUGGGCGUAAAGCGAGCGCAGGCGGUUUAAUAAGUCUGAAGUUAAAGGCAGUGGCUUAACCAUUGUUCGCUUUGGAAACUGUUAAACUUGAGUGCAGAAGGGGAGAGUGGAAUUCCAUGUGUAGCGGUGAAAUGCGUAGAUAUAUGGCGGAACACCGGUGGCGAAAGCGGCUCUCUGGUCUGUAACUGACGCUGAGGCUCGAAAGCGUGGGGAGCAAACAGG
rnacentral:rRNA from 1 species